CAAAAGUAAUAAAGAACGUAGAAAUAAAAUAGAUAAUUAAACUUUUAUCUACUUUCAUCUUCAAUUGAAACUCACUUUAAAGCUUCAAAGGUAAUUUGAUUUGAUGAUAAGCAUCGGAUCACUUUGGCAUUACAAAACUUUCAAUAAUUUGUAACAAAAUCCCCAAACAAUAAGCCUCGAAUCGAAGCCGAAGCAAUUCAAAAUCCUAAAAAUCAAACAUAGAGCAUAAUAAACUACUAAAAAAAAAAAAAAAACCAAUAAUUAAACAGUAAAUAUGUCAGGAAAAAAAAUGUAAAUAAUGGGUGAAUGGUGAUUUGGGGGAAGGAAUUGGGGGGGAAAACAUGUAAAUAACGGGAAGGAAUUGGGGGAAGAACUCAUGAAGGGUUUGCUCUUCUCUGAUUUCUCUAGCUACCGGUAUAAUUGACGAGAAGGAAACCGAAAAUGAGACCGAUUCGGGAAAGUGUUGCUGGUCGCUGGAGACUCCAUUGCCUCUGUCGGUCUGCCCUCUGCUGUGCUUGUAGUGGACUGGAAGAGAUCUUAUGGUCUAUAAUGGGUGAAUGUUGAUUUGGGCUUUUUAAUUUGGGCCCGAUUUAAAAAAAAUAGUGGCCCAACACAGCAACACUCCAACAGCCAACACAACAACCAACUGCAAAGGAAUCCAGCUAGGGCGGCGAAGUCAUCUGAGACUUACCACUGAGAGGUGCUCAGCGACCGGCGAUUCCGGCGAAUCCAGCUAGGGAGGCCGCCCUAGCUAGCUAGUACCUGCAUCCGCCACUGUAUGUGGAUAAGUAAAAAAAAUAAAUCUUACAUCUGUUAAAUAUCGAAAUAUUAAUUAACAUAUAAAAG
rnacentral:lncRNA from 1 species